rnacentral:misc_RNA from 1 species
GAUGAAGAACGCAGCGAAAUGCGAUAAAUAAUAUGAAUUGCAGAAUUCAGCGAAUCAUCGAGUUUUUGAACGCACAUUGCGCCCGCCAGUAUUCUGGCGGGCAUGCCUGUUCGAGCGUCAUUUCAACCAUCAAGCCCUGCUUGCGUUGGGGUCCUGCGGCUGCCCGCAGGCCCUGAAAACCAGUGGCGGGCUCGCUAGUCACACCGAGCGCAGUAAUACAUCUCGCUUUGGGCGUGCGGCGGGUUCUUGCCGUUAAACACCCCCUUUUUACCAAGGUUGACCUCGGAUCAGGUAGGAAUACCCGCUGAACUUAAGCAUAUCAAUAAGCGGAGGA